rnacentral:rRNA from 1 species
CCCUUAGAUGUUCUGGGCCGCACGCGCGCUACACUGACGAAUGCAACGAGCUUAUAACCUUGGCCGAAAGGUCUGGGUAAUCUCCAAAUUUCGUCGUGAUGGGGAUAGAUUAUUGCAAUUAUUAAUCUUCAACGAGGAAUGCCUAGUAAGCGCAAGUCAUCAGCUUGCGUUGAUUACGUCCCUGCCCUUUGUACACACCGCCCGUCGCUCCUACCGAUUGAAUGGUCCGGUGAAGCGUUCGGACCGUGGCCUUUGGACGGUUCGCCGUCUGUUGGCUGCGGGAAGUUCGUUAAACCUUNUNACUUAUNGGAAGGAGAANUCGUANCA